rnacentral:rRNA from 1 species
AGCGUAAUAGCUCACUGGUCGAGUCGGCCUGCGCGGAAGAUGUAACGGGGCUAAACCAUGCACCGAAGCUGCGGCAGCGAACGUAUCACUUAAAGCGAUUCAGCGGGUUACGAUUGACGGAGCGAAGCGACGUCAAAGCGUAUACAAAGUCGAGUCGGUUUAAGGAUACGUUCGUUGGGUAGGGGAGCGUUCUGUAAGCCUGUGAAGGUGGCCUGUGAGGGUUGCUGGAGGUAUCAGAAGUGCGAAUGGAGGCACUACGGUGCUGAAGCAACAAAUGCCCUGCUUCCAGGAAAAGCCUCUAAGCAUCAGGUAACAUCAAAUCGUACCCCAAACCGACACAGGUGGUCAGGUAGAGAAUACCAAGGCGCUUGAGAGAACUCGGGUGAAGGAACUAGGCAAAAUGGUGCCGUAACUUCGGGAGAAGGCACGCUGACACGUAGGUGAAGUGAUUUACUCAUGGAGCUGAAGUCAGUCGAAGAUACCAGCUGGCUGCAACUGUUUAUUAAAAACACAGCACUGUGCAAACACGAAAGUGGACGUAUACGGUGUGACGCCUGCCCGGUGCCGGAAGGUUAAUUGAUGGGGUCAGCGCAAGCGAAGCUCCUGAUCGAAGCCCCGGUAAACGGCGGCCGUAACUAUAACGGUCCUAAGGUAGCGAAAUUCCUUGUCGGGUAAGUUCCGACCUGCACGAAUGGCGUAAUGAUGGCCAGGCUGUCUCCACCCGAGACUCAGUGAAAUUGAACUCGCUGUGAAGAUGCAGUGUACCCGCGGCAAGACGGAAAGACCCCGUGAACCUUUACUAUAGCUUGACACUGAACAUUGAGCCUUGAUGUGUAGGAUAGGUGGGAGGCUUUGAAGCGUGGACGCCAGUCUGCGUGGAGCCGACCUUGAAAUACCACCCUUUAAUGUUUGAUGUUCUAACGUGGACCCGUAAUCCGGGUUGCGGACAGUGUCUGGUGGGUAGUUUGACUGGGGCGGUCUCCUCCUAAAGAGUAACGGAGGAGCACGAAGGUUGGCUAAUCCUGGUCGGACAUCAGGAGGUUAGUGCAAUGGCAUAAGCCAGCUUGACUGCGAGCGUGACGGCGCGAGCAGGUGCGAAAGCAGGUCAUAGUGAUCCGGUGGUUCUGAAUGGAAGGGCCAUCGCUCAACGGAUAAAAGGUACUCCGGGGAUAACAGGCUGAUACCGCCCAAGAGUUCAUAUCGACGGCGGUGUUUGGCACCUCGAUGUCGGCUCAUCACAUCCUGGGGCUGAAGUAGGUCCCAAGGGUAUGGCUGUUCGCCAUUUAAAGUGGUACGCGAGCUGGGUUUAGAACGUCGUGAGACAGUUCGGUCCCUAUCUGCCGUGGGCGCUGGAGAACUGAGGGGGGCUGCUCCUAGUACGAGAGGACCGGAGUGGACGCAUCACUGGUGUUCGGGUUGUCAUGCCAAUGGCACUGCCCGGUAGCUAAAUGCGGAAGAGAUAAGUGCUGAAAGCAUCUAAGCACGAAACUUGCCCCGAGAUGAGUUCUCCCUGAGACUUAGAGUCUCCUGAAGGAACGUUGAAGACGACGACGUUGAUAGGCCGGGUGUGUAAGCGCAGCGAUGCGUUGAGCUAACCGGUACUAAUGAACCGUGAGGCUUAACCUUACAACGCCGAAG